CCUACGGGAGGCAGCAGUGGGGAAUAUUGCACAAUGGGCGAAAGCCUGAUGCAGCAACGCCGCGUGAGCGAUGAAGCCCUUCGGGGUGUAAAGCUCUUUCGGCAGGAACGAUAAUGACGGUACCUGCGGAAGAAGCUGCGGCUAACUACGUGCCAGCAGCCGCGGUAAU
rnacentral:rRNA from 1 species